rnacentral:rRNA from 1 species
GUCCAGACUCCUACGGGAGGCAGCAGUGGGGGAUAUUGCACAAUGGGGGGAACCCUGAUGCAGCGACGCCGCGUGGGUGAAGAAGCGCCUCGGCGCGUAAAGCCCUGUCAGCAGGGAAGAAAAUGACGGUACCUGAAGAAGAAGCCCCGGCUAACUACGUGCCAGCAGCCGCGGUAAUACGUAGGGGGCAAGCGUUAUCCGGAUUUACUGGGUGUAAAGGGGGCGCAGACGGCGAUGCAAGCCAGGAGUGAAAGCCCGGGGCCCAACCCCGGGACUGCUCUUGGAACUGCGUGGCUGGAGUGCAGGAGGGGCAGGCGGAAUUCCUGGUGUAGCGGUAAAAUGCGUAGAUAUCAGGAGGAACAUCGGUGGCGAAAGCGCUUUACUGGACCAUUAUUGACGCUGAGGAACGAAAGCCAGGGGAGCAAAUGGGAUUAGAUACCCUAGUA